GGUAUGCUAAACCCUGUGACGUGGGAGGCUGUGGAGCAAGGAACGCGGCCCUGAUGGGUAAUGAUGUUUAAGCCGAGACUUGAAGGAUGGGCAAGUAGCCAGGCAACUGGGUGUGCGUAAAUGCUCCUGGCAGAGGGAACAGCAUGAGCAGCGUGGCAUGCUGGGAGAGGAGCACAGGAGCACGGAGUGACUUCGGGAACAGUGCAAACUUCCGGGCCACCCACGGAGGACAAGGAGGGAGGAGAGUGGUGAGAAACAAGGCCCAGAGGUAGUGACAGGUACCCUGGCAGGAAUGGCAAAGCCCAUCCUGACUCUCAAACAAACCAGACUUCUCCCCCACAGCUGGGCUCCAAUGCCAUGCAGCGAGAGUACAGUCCUACUUUAUCUUCAGUAGAGACUUCAGGAGCCCAGAAGACAAAUAGUCCCUACUGAGGGGGUCAUGUAUUUUGGGCGGCCCUCUGGAUUGAGGAUGAGCCAUCUUGCGAAGAAUGGACAGAAAUAAGCCCCAGCUCCCCUCUUGCUAAAGCAGUGAAAAAGGAAAACAUCGGUGUAUCUUCAAUAGGACACUCCACUACACAUAUAAAGAAAUAAUUAAAACUAGGCAGAAUGCUGUAACUGAUAAGAGAAUUACAAAGAAAUAAUGAUGGAGAAUUAAAAAGAACACAGAUCAAGCUACAUUGGCGUCAACCUGGAGUAAUCUGGGAAGACCAGAUGGGGGGAGGGCAACAUUUGUGUUGGUCCUUGACUUGCAAUAGGAUCUCGACAGGUGAAUGUAGUAGGGAAUGGUGUUGCAAACAGAGAGGGUAGAAUAAGCCAACCCACAGAAGUAGAGGAAAACGAUGUCCUAGUUGAUGGACAAUGGUGGGGAGGUAGCGGUGGUGACAGGGAGCUUUGUGUGCUGCAGUGUGGGGGGGCCACCAGGGGAGACAUGGGGAAUUGAAGCCUGGGGCUCAGAAUACCCCACUAAAGAAUACAAACCUGAAAAAGACCAGCACUCUGUUUUCCUUUCCCAUUGCCGUAUCUCUUCUUGGACAGCUCAAGUCACUUGUCAAUCAACGAAUAAACAAAGAAACUAGAAGAGUCAAAAAUAAAAUUGAAAUUAAGUUGUCUUGAUGUAGCCAAUCUUACAUUUUUAUGAAAAACAACAACCAAACUCCCAAAGAAAAAAGUUGAACAUGUAGCUUUAGGUAAGGUGAAAUAGAAUGUUUGGGGAAUUUCAAUAAGCCACUGAAUUAAUAAGUCUACUUUUCUCUAUUUUCAAACCAUUUUUGAGUUGUGUAAACAGUCAAUACUUCACUGCUAUGUCCUUGAACUGAGUCCUUUUUGUUUUCAGAAAGAGGCAUUUAGAAGAAAAUGACACAGAAAUUUCUUCCUUAAACCACCUUGUUGAAGUUUCUCCAGGGACCAAAGUAGAUGACUUGUAAAUUCCUUUACUCUUAAAAUAAAAGGCAUUUUUAUAAAAGAAAAGGUGAUGGGUACAGCAACACCGACUCAGGAGGGAAAACAGUCGCAGGGAAGAUGUCAUUUAUUCUCUUCUUCAUGGGGCAAAACCAUCUUGCAUUCAAAAGCCUCCUAAGAGGAAGAUGGCGUUUAUAGGUUAAAAACAAAAACCCUCUUACAACAUUUUUUAAGACUCGUAGGAAUCAAGAAUUUCACAGGGAGAAUGGUACCAUCUUAUACUGUACAGGUCUGUAAACUGUUUUCAGCGUCCUUUUCCACCCCAGCUUCUCAUUUGUCCCUCGCUGAAGUCUCAUGGAAAGAGGCCCGGCGUGGAUUCUCAACUAUACAGUUGACAAAGCCAAGGCCUGGAGUGGUAACAGACCGAACCAGUGUUAUCACUGGGUGGAGUGGGAAGGCAGAUUUGGAGAUGGGUUCUCUGCAAGCUCACCUAAGCACACUCUUUCCUCUACUCCCUGCUGACUGUCGCUUACUGGAUGGAAAAAUGCCUUGAGGGUGGCGAUUGUGUCUUAAUUAUCUUCUGAUCCUUCCGCAGUGCCUUCCACACAAUAGGUGUUCAAUAAAUGUUAAUUAAAUAAACGCUGUGAACCCCAAAGUCUAAAUGGCUCUAAGUUAGAUUUUCAAAGCUUUCUGGGCCCUCACACAUUUUUAUUAAAAAAAAAAAAAGAGAAGAAAAACCUUUGCUUCCUUAAUCUGGCAAUUAAGAAAGAAACGAUUAGUUCAUUUCAUUCCCUAGGAUAUUUGGAAACAAAAAAUUGAGAGCUAUAAGGAGGAUGAAGUUUUCCCUCAGAAUAAACAGCAAAAAUGAAUGGCUCUAGAAUACAAUUUGGUCUCUUGUUGACACACGUCUGUUCCUCCUAGCUCGUGGGUUUGAAAAUGACCUUUCUUAGCAAGAGCUGGACAUGAAUAGCCUUCUUUUUUCCAACCAGUUCCUCUAUUUCCUGAAGUCAGUUGCCAUGUGUCCUUUGACAAAUGAGUUGCAGGAGUGUGCACUUUCCCUUGAAGAACAUUUUCUCCUGUAGUUUUCACUCUCGUCCAUAUGACCAAUUUUUCGUCUUUGCCAAGUUGGGUGUAAAUAAAACUCAUGCCCUCAAUAAUUGUGAAAUGGACAGUUUUU